AGCAGAUAGAGUUUGAUCAUGGCUCAGAGCGAACGCUGGCGGCAGGCUUAACACAUGCAAGUCGAGCGGGCCCUUCGGGGUCAGCGGCGGACGGGUGAGUAACGCGUGGGAACGUGCCUUCUGGUUCGGAAUAACCCUGGGAAACUAGGGCUAAUACCGGAUACGCCCUUUUGGGGAAAGGUUUACUGCCGGAAGAUCGGCCCGCGUCUGAUUAGCUAGUUGGUGGGGUAACGGCCUACCAAGGCGACGAUCAGUAGCUGGUCUGAGAGGAUGAUCAGCCACACUGGGACUGAGACACGGCCCAGACUCCUACGGGAGGCAGCAGUGGGGAAUAUUGGACAAUGGGCGCAAGCCUGAUCCAGCCAUGCCGCGUGAGUGAUGAAGGCCUUAGGGUUGUAAAGCUCUUUUAUCCGGGACGAUAAUGACGGUACCGGAGGAAUAAGCCCCGGCUAACUUCGUGCCAGCAGCCGCGGUAAUACGAAGGGGGCUAGCGUUGCUCGGAAUCACUGGGCGUAAAGGGCGCGUAGGCGGCGUUUUAAGUCGGGGGUGAAAGCCUGUGGCUCAACCACAGAAUGGCCUUCGAUACUGGGACGCUUGAGUAUGGUAGAGGUUUGGUGGAACUGCGAGUGUAGAGGUGAAAUUCGUAGAUAUUCGCAAGAACACCGGUGGCGAAGGCGGCCAACUGGACCAUUACUGACGCUGAGGCGCGAAAGCGUGGGGAGCAAACAGGAUUAGAUAUCCUGGUAGUCCACGCCGUAAACGAUGAAUGCCAGCUGUUGGGGUGCUUGCACCGCAGUAGCGCAGCUAACGCUUUGAGCAUUCCGCCUGGGGAGUACGGUCGCAAGAUUAAAACUCAAAGGAAUUGACGGGGGCCCGCACAAGCGGUGGAGCAUGUGGUUUAAUUCGAAGCCACGCGCAGAACCUUACCAUCCUUUGACAUGGCGUGUUACCCAAAGAGAUCUGGGGUCCCCUUCCGGGGCGCGCACACAGGUGCUGCAUGGCUGUCGUCAGCUCGUGUCUUGAGAUGUUGGGGUUAAGUCCCCCAACGAACGCAACCCACUUCCUUAUUUGCCAUCAUUCAGUUUGGGCACUCUAAGGAGAACUGCCGGUGGAUAACCCCCCAGGAAAGGGUUGGAUGACGUCCAGUCCUCCAUGGCCCUUACGGGAUGGG
rnacentral:rRNA from 1 species